rnacentral:lncRNA from 1 species
GGAAUUUCCAGGAGAUCUUUCAGCAGCACAAGGCUUGGAAGCUAGAAAGAAUGCCAAGAAAGAGUCAGCUGUUUAGAAGCAAGAAAAUCUGUGCCCCUUAAUUGUGGAAACACAAGUUCAAAUCCCAGCUCUCCUGCUUGCCAGCUACAGGCUCAAGGGAGCCAUACCAGGCUGGAUUCACUUGUUCACAUUUCUAAUCUAACAGCAGAGGAAACUAGGACCCAGUUAGGACUUCUCUGCUGAAAGGAAGACUAAAUGAGUCAGUGGAGAGAGCU